CCUACGGGUGGCAGCAGUGGGGGAUAUUGCACAAUGGGGGGAACCCUGAUGCAGCGACGCCGCGUGGGUGAAGAAGCGCCUCGGCGCGUAAAGCCCUGUCAGCAGGGAAGAAAAUGACGGUACCUGAAGAAGAAGCCCCGGCUAACUACGUGCCAGCAGCCGCGGUAAUACGUAGGGGGCAAGCGUUAUCCGGAUUUACUGGGUGUAAAGGGGGCGCAGACGGCGAUGCAAGCAAGGAGUGAAAGCGCGGGGCUCAACCCCGGGACUGCUCGUGGAACUGCGUGGCGUGAGUGCAGGAGGGGCAGGCGGAAUUCCUGGUGUAGCGGUGAAAUGCGUAGAUAUCAGGAGGAACACCUGUGGCGAAGGCGGCCUGCUGGACUGCAACUGACGUUGAGGCCCGAAAGCGUGGGGAGCAAACAGGAUUAGAUACCCGGGUAGUC
rnacentral:rRNA from 1 species